ACGUGACGAGGCGCGCCACUCGGCGCAUGGGCCGCGCUACACGGCCGCUCAGGGAGCUGAGGGUAUAGCGUUUUCGCCUUAGACUUUCUUGGGUGCAGGCCCACACCACCUCAGCAGCCUGCCCGGCAGUCCUCUUUUCCCAGGUUUUGGCGUUUAGACAACCCACCUGAGUCCUCAGCCUUGUCCCACACAGCAAGGUACAAGGGACCGGACGUCUGCCUCCUCAGCAGCGCAGCGCACAAGCUUCCUGUCAUCCCGGCGCCCACGAUCAGCACCUGCGCCAUGGCGAGAGGGAGCAGCGAUCCGCGCUGAGUCUCUGCGGCGGGGCCGUUCGGCCCGGGCUUUCUGGAAAGGCGGCCGAACCGGCGCUAGCGCUCUUUGGUUCCGUGCUCCCUGGGCCGACCUGGGCCCUGAGCUUUCCUCCGGCCGGCCUGCAGGGGGCGGAAAGGAGGCGGCCGGAGCUGAGAGGCCCCUCCGUCCUUGAGGAGCAAACCUGGGGCUGCGGAGAACCGGGGCUGUCUGUCUUCUCGCUUUGGGGGCCGGGCGCCCUGCCCCUCGCCCAGAAAAGCCUGGAAAUGGUGUGGGCUAUUGUUGGGAGAACCCGCCUCGCAACAGAGCUGACGUUGACCACAGCAGAGAAGCAGCUUAACCUAUCUACUGCGAUAACUCUCAUGCCUGUUGGGAUUUUUGCUGUUUUACUAUUCUAGAUUUGAAAGUGGGAAGAAGAAUUUACCAGCGAUACCACGGGCAACCUUUCCUCUAAUGCUUGAACGGCCACUAUUAGCAUAAUAGAAACAUCUUUUGGAAUCUGGGAGACAUUUUUCUUAGACCUGGGACUUUGUGUAACCUUCCUGAACCUCAAUUUCUCCAUCUGGGAAAUGGAAACAAUAACGUAUACCUUUCAAACUUGUAAAGAUUAAAGACAGUUGAUUCAUCAGAAAAUUCCAAAUUACUCUUCAAUAAGUUCUAUGUCAGAACGCAUUCCGUAUGUUCUAAGGAAUAUAAAGAUGAACAACAAGAGAAGGAUUGGUGCCAUUGCCGUUGUUUUUUUCCCCCUCCUGACAUUGUACUGGAAGUUCUCAAUGAAACAACAAAGGCAAUGUAUAAUAUGCUUUUUCUUAGCUUUCCUAUGACUCUACUUAGCAACUUUUGCUAAAAGAAACACAAUAUAUGACUGACUACUUUGAAGACACAUAUAUUGGACACUUAAAAUCAACAAAAGCAGAGAGGUCCCAAACGUGGUAUCUUUUCACAAUGAUGUAUUUUAUCCGAAUUCUUGGAAUUACUCAUGGUGUCUUUCAAAAUUAAAGAUCUGUGAAACCUGAAGCAGAUAUGAAUAUUAGCCAGAUUAUUUCCUACUGGGGCUACCCUGAUGAAGAAUAUGAUAUUGUAACCGAAGAUGGUUAUAUCCUUGGCCUUUAUAGAAUUCCUUAUUGGAGGACAGACAAUAAUAAAAAUCUAGCUCAGAGGGUUGUUGUAUACUUGCAACAUGGUUUGCUUACAUCUGCCAGCAGCUGGAUUUCCAAUCUUCCCAACAAUAGUCUGGGCUUCAUUCUGGCAGAUGCUGGUUAUGAUGUGUGGAUGGGAAAUAGCAGAGGAAAUACCUGGUCCAGGAAACACUUGUACCUAGAAACGAGUUCCAAAGAAUUCUGGGCUUUCAGGUUGUGCAUAUACUUCUUAAAGUUGUAGAUAAGCUUCUAGACCUGUAAGUAAAACAAAAACUGUGAGACAAACAUAGUACAGCAGAAUGCCCUGGAAUCUUACAUGCUGCUUUGAUCCCCCAUGGAGUCUUCUCUAGUCACAAAGAAUUGAUUGUAAAGACAAGGUUUCAUAACAUUUUCUACUAUAUCAAAGAUAGCUGAAAGAAUCAAAAUAUUUUUUGCUUUAGCACCAGUUUUUUCCACAAAGUACUUAAAAAGUCCUUUAAUUAGAAUGACAUACAAAUGGAAGUCAAUAGUCAUGGCUUUUUCAGGCAACAAAGACUUCUUGCCUAAAACCUCAUUUAAAAAAUUCAUUGGUUCAAAGCUGUGUCCACUACAGAUUUUUGAUAAGAUUUGCCUCAAUAUCUUGUUUAUGAUGUUUGGAUAUGACCCAAAAAACUUAAAUAUGAGUCGUUUGGAUGUGUAUUUUUCACACAACCCAGCAGGAACAUCUGUUCAAAAUAUGCUUCAUUGGAGUCAGCUUUUAAAUUCUACUCAUUUGAAAGCUUAUGACUGGGGCAGUCCUGAUCUGAACUUGGUUCAUUAUAAUCAGACAACGUCUCCAUUAUACAACAUGACAAACAUGAAUGUGGCAACUGCAAUUUGGAAUGGUAAAAGUGACUUGUUGGCUGACCCUGAAGACGUUAACAUUUUACAUUCUGAAAUCACAAACCACAUUUAUUAUAAAACUAUUUCUUACUACAAUCAUAUAGACUCUUUGUUUGGAUUAGAUGUCUAUGAUCAAGUUUACCAUGAAAUCAUUGAUAUUAUCCAAGACAAUCUAUAAAGAACCAUGGCGCUGUGUGUUUAAAGAUCUACAUCAUUCCUAAUGAAAUCCAAUUCUUAUUUUUUUUUA